rnacentral:lncRNA from 1 species
GGACCGUGUGGAGAGUGCGGGCGCUGGACAGCAGCUCCGGCCCCUCACCGACGCGCAGCCCGCGCCUGGGCCGACCUGUUGACUGAAAAUCAGCCGGCGCUUGGCCAGAUGCGUCGAUGGAGGCCCGCAGCCCAGCGACGACGUGGUAGUCAUGGCUGAAGCGGCGCCUGCCCCGCCAAAUGCAGAGAAGAGCUCAUACCUCUAUUCCAUAGAAAUCACACUGUGGACCGUGGUGCCUGCUGUUCAGGCCUUGGAGAAGAAAAGUGGAUUCUUGCCUGGCCCGCUUGCUGACUCUGGAGGGAUGCUCAGGGACAGCAGAGAAGAAGCUGGCUGACUGUGAGAAGACAGCUGUGGAGUUCAGCAGCCAGCUGGAGGGCAAGUUGGCCGUGCUGGGGACCCUGCCUCAGGAGUCUAGGCUGCUGCAUGAAGAACCUCAUGGGCAACUGGAACUUCUGGGUCCAGCGGCUUCCCCCUGGCAACAAGGGGGAGGUCCCCAAGGUGCCCCUGACCUUUGAUGACAUGGCUGUAUAUUUCUCUGAAUUAGAGUGGGCCAAGCUGGAGGACUGGCAGAAGAGGCUCGACAAGCAUGUGAUGGGGGCAGCUAUGAGAUGCUCGUUUCCCUGGGUAUUUCUCUGAGUCCAGAGCAGGCCCCAAGUCCAGCUAGCCCUGCCCAGGAGGAACUGAAUCAAAGGCAGACACCUGAGCAGCAGCAAGAGGAAGCAACCAUGAUUCCACCUGAGCCAGGCACUGGGAUUCCAGCAAGCACCAGCCCUUUAUCACUUAAACAGGAGGAAGAAUCUGCAGAGGGAGGAGAGUUGCCACCCUCCCCUUCCACAGAUAGCCUGCUUUCUGUGGAGCCAGGGAAGUCCAGCCCUGCAAGGGCCCAGCUCUGAACAGGACAGGACCUGCACUGUCUCAGGGCCUUUCCCUUGUGCCUGCCAAGUGGUGGAAGUUCCUUCACUUUCCAGCUGAGUUGGUACUUUAGGGGCCCUUCAAAAGCACAAGCUCCAGACCAGGAAUUUGAGGUGAUAGUGUCAUGCCUCAAAGUCAUGAGAGCGGGUGCUUCAUGUGCCUCUUUGUCACAGCACCUUGGGGACAGCCUUGUGGAGCUUCUGGAGCUGGGUGAUGGAUUCCAAUUCUGAUAGUUUGCUCUCUUGUUUGGCACUCAGACACCAGAGCACAUGAAGGCUCCCAGGUGCCUUCAUCCCUGGCUGUGCUAUUGCUAAAGUCCUGCAGACUCUGUAGCCACUCAGAAGUCCUGCACAGACGAGGCAGAGGGUGACACUGCCGUCAUUCCCAGGGUAGGGGUAUGACUGGCAAGACUGUGGCAUGCAGCCAUGGUUCUGGACGUUACUUGCCUGCACACCCAACCGUUGUUUAGGCCCUGCAAGCAAGACAGCAGUUGUCAGUAAGCGCUCAGACUGAACGUGGACAGUAUAGCUGCCCCAAACUUAAUCCUCCGCUGCAAGCACUCAUGUUGCUGUUCUGGGGGUUCCUAGGCCUCUCUUCUAAUGCUUUAGAUGUUCUCUGGAAAACAAGUAUUCAUAUUUGAAGCACAAAUCCAAGUGCUGGGGUGGGGGAAGAGGCGCUGUAUAAUCCUGGCUCGCCUUGGGCUUGCAGUGAAUUUUUUUCCCCUACCUCUAUCUACCUACUAGGAUUUCCUUGCUUGUGCCAUUAUGCACAACUGGGCUUACUGCAUUUAACCUGAAAUUCAAUAGGACAGGUUAAAGAGUAUUUUGAGUUAAGAAUGAACAAAGGCUGCAUGGUUGCCUGAGCUCAAAGACGUUGGAUCCCAGAUUCUGAUGACUUAUUUUGUAAAACAAAGAUAUGGUUGGGUUGGUUACAAGGCCCUAAGAACCAUGGAGGUGGAAAUAUUAACUUAAUCGGUGCUCUAUAAAUACACUGGAAAAUGUA